rnacentral:tRNA from 1 species
GUGUUUUUAGUAUAUGAAGUACAUUUACCCUCCAAGUAAAAAGAUUAAUCAAUAAAAAACACA